GAUGAACGCUGGCGGCGUGCCUAAUACAUGCAAGUCGAGCGAACAGAUAAGGAUCUUGCUCCUUUGACGUUAUCGGCUGACGUGUGAGUAACACGUGGUUAACCUACCUAUAUGACUGGGAUAACUUCGUGUAACCUUAUCUAAUACCGUAUAACAUUUUGAACCGCAUUUUUCUAUAGUUUAUGUUGGUUUUUCUAUCUCUUAUAGAUGGUCCCUCGCCGUAUUAGCUAGUUGGUAAGGUAACGGCUUACCAAGGCAACGAUACGUAGCCGACAUGAGAGGGUGAACGGCAAAACUGGAACGGAGACACGGAACAGACAACUACGGGAGGCAGCAGUAGGGAAGAGGACGCAAUGGGCGAAAGGAUGACGGAGCAAAGCGGAGGGAGAGAAGAAGGGUUUAGGAUAGUAAAAAUCUGUUAUUAGGGAAGAAAAAAAGUGGAAGUAAAUGUGCACGGAGUGACGGUAACUAAUCAGAAAGCAACGGCUAACUACGUG
rnacentral:rRNA from 1 species